rnacentral:rRNA from 1 species
CAAUAGCGUAUAUUUAAGUUGUUGCAGUUAAAAAGCUCGUAGUUGGAUUUCGAUUAAGAGCGACCGGUCCGCCGUUUGGUGUGCACUGGUUGGUUUUAACUUCCUGUAGAGGACGUGCUCUGGGUUUAACGACCUGGACUCGGAGUCUACGUGGUUACUUUGAAAAAAUUAGAGUGUUCAAAGCGGGCUUACGCUUGAAUAUUUCAGCAUGGAAUAACACUAUAGGACUCCUGUCCUAUUUCGUUGGUCUCGGGACGGGAGUAAUGAUUAAGAGGAACAGUUGGGGGCAUUCGUAUUUCAUUGUCAGAGGUGAAAUUCUUGGAUUUAUGAAAGACGAACUUCUGCGAAAGCAUUUGCCAAGGAUGUUUUCAUUGA